rnacentral:rRNA from 1 species
GACGAACGCUGGCGGCGUGCUUAACACAUGCAAGUCGAACGGUGAAGCGCCUUCCUUUUUGGUGGGUGUGGAUGAGCGGCGAACGGGUGAGUAACACGUGAGUAACCUGCCCCCUUCUUCUGGAUAACCGCAUGAAAGUGUGGCUAAUACGGGAUAUUCUGGGUCUGUCGCAUGAUGGGUCUGGGAAAGAUAUUGUUUCGGUGGGGGAUGGGCUCGCGGCCUAUCAGCUUGUUGGUGGGGUGAUGGCCUACCAAGGCGGUGACGGGUAGCCGGCCUGAGAGGGUGGACGGUCACACUGGGACUGAGACACGGCACAGACUCCUACGGGAGGCAGCAGUGGGGAAUAUUGCACAAUGGGCGCAAGCCUGAUGCAGCGACGCCGCGUGAGGGAUGGAGGCCUUCGGGUUGUGAACCUCUUUCGCCAGUGAAGCAGGCCUGCCUCGUUUGUGGGUGGGUUGACGGUAGCUGGAUAAGAAGCGCCGGCUAACUACGUG